rnacentral:rRNA from 1 species
ACACACCGCCCGUCACACCAUGGGAGUGGGUUGCUCCAGAAGUAGCUAGUCUAACCGCAAGGGGGACGGUUACCACGGAGUGAUUCAUGACUGGGGUGAAGUCGUAACAAGGUAGCCGUAGGGGAACCUGCGGCUGGAUCACCUCCUUAAUCGAAGA